GAGAUUUAUUUUGCAUUUCGUUCUCCACAGGUGGCUGAAGUAAAGAAAAUGAAAAUUGGCAAUCCACUGGAUCGUUCAACAGACCAUGGUCCACAGAAUCAUAAAUCUCAUCUCGACUCCCUCUUGUCGUAUGUCGAUACUGGCGUCAAGGAGGGAGCUACUUUGGUAUAUGGAGGAAAACGAGUCGACACCCCUGGUAAAUAUACUGAGCUUGACUUUAUUCACACUAGAUAACAGUAUGAGUUCUGUAAUUUGCUGAAACCAGAU
rnacentral:lncRNA from 1 species